rnacentral:rRNA from 1 species
AUUGAACGCUGGCGGAAUGCUUUACACAUGCAAGUCGAACGGCAGCACGGGUGCUUGCACCUGGUGGCGAGUGGCGAACGGGUGAGUAAUGCACCGGAACGUAUCCAAUAAUGGGGGAUAACGCACCGAAAGGUGUGCUAAUACCGCAUACGCCCUGAGGGGGAAAGCGGGGGAGUCGUAAGACCUCGCGUUAAUGGAGCGGCCGAUGCCGGAUUAGCUAGUUGGUGGGGUAAAGGCCCACCAAGGCGACGAUCCGUAGCGGGUCUGAGAGGAUGAUCCGCCACACUGGAACUGAGACACGGUCCAGACUCCUACGGGAGGCAGCAGUGGGGAAUUUUGGACAAUGGGCGCAAGCCUGAUCCAGCCAUGCCGCGUGAGUGAAGAAGG